GAUGAAGAACGCAGCGAAAUGCGAUAAGUAAUGUGAAUUGCAGAAUUCAGUGAAUCAUCGAAUCUUUGAACGCACAUUGCGCCCGCUAGUAUUCUGGCGGGCAUGCCUGUUCGAGCGUCAUUUCAACCAUCAAGCCCCAGGCUUGUGUUGGAGCCCUGCGGCUGCCGCAGCCUCCCAAAACCAGUGGCGGGCUCGCUAUCACACCGAGUGCAGUAGUUUACUCUUCGCUCAGGGCGUGUGGCGGGUGCUAGCCGUGAAACCCCCAACUUCUCAAGGUUGACCUCGGAUCAGGUAGGAAUACCCGCUGAACUUAAGCAUAUCAAUAAGCGGAGGA
rnacentral:misc_RNA from 1 species